rnacentral:rRNA from 1 species
GAUGAACGCUGGCGGCGUGCCUAAUACAUGCAAGUCGAACGCAUUGAGAGAAGUGCUUGCACUUUUCAAUUUGAGUGGCGCACGGGUGAGUAACACGUGGGCCACCUACCUGAUAGCGGGGGAUAACGAGUGGAAACAUUCGCUAAUACCGCAUAACAAUAGAGAAGGCAUCUUCUUUAUUUAAAAGGCGCUUUCAAGCGUCACUAUCAGAUGGGCCCGCGGUGCAUUAGUUAGUUGGUGGGCUGAAGGCCUACCAAGACGAUGAUGCAUAGCCGCGUUGGGAGACCGACCGUGAACAGUGAGACUGAGACACGGUGCAAACUCCUGCGGGAGGAUGCAGUAGGGAAGUGUCCACAAUGGACGAAAGUUGGAUGGAGCAACGCCGCGCGUGUGAUGAAGGCGUUCGUGACGUAAUGGACUGUUGUAUGGGAAGAAAUGCUAAGCUAGGAAAUGUGCUUAGGUUGACGGUACCAUACCAGAAAGGGACGGCUAAAUACGUGCCAGCCGCCGCCGUAA